rnacentral:rRNA from 1 species
GAAUUGCUAGUAAUCGCGGAUCAGCAUGCCGCGGUGAAUACGUUCCCGGGCCUUGUACACACCGCCCGUCACACCAUGAGAGUUGGGGAUACCCGAAGCCUGUGAGCUAACUUUUAGAGGCAGCAGUCGAAGGUAGAAUCAAUGAUUGGGGUGAAGUCGUAACAAGGUAUC